rnacentral:lncRNA from 1 species
GUUUGACCCCUUUUAAUGGCCUCCGAAUUUUCAUUCAAAAUUCGAAAUUUAUUUUCAGAAAACCUCUUUUAGUUGGCACAUGCAAAGGAAUAGGAACAACCCAAAUCAGAUCUCAACCAAAUCUGAUUUAAAUUCAAAUUUUAAACACAUGUGCAAGAGGGAAGGAAUUUGAAAUCCCUGCGGCAAGGUAAACACUUCAUAAUUUCGAAAUCACCUCUUGAAAUUCGAAUUUAAUCCAUUCAAAAACUCAGACGCCACCUUGGCUGAUGGUUUGAGUGAUUAAAAUCAUUUAACAC